CGCGUAAUCAACCUGCCCUUCAGAGGGGGAUAACAACGGGAAACCGUUGCUAAUACCGCGUACGAUUCAUGAACGGCAUCGUUUAUGAAUGAAAGGUGGCCUCUAUGUAUAAGCUAUCGCUGAAGGAGGGGAUUGCGUCUGAUUAGCUAGUUGGAGGGGUAACGGCCCACCAAGGCAAUGAUCAGUAGCCGGUCUGAGAGGAUGAACGGCCACAUUGGGACUGAGACACGGCCCAA
rnacentral:rRNA from 1 species